CAGUAGCCACGGUAAUACAGAGGGUGCGAGCGUUAAUCGGAUUUACUGGGCGUAAAGCGUGCGUAGGCGGCUUUUUAAGUCGGAUGUGAAAUCCCUGAGCUUAACUUAGAAAUUGCAUUCGAUACUGGGAAGCUAGAGUAUGGGAGAGGAUGGUAGAAUUCCAGGUGUAGCGGUGAAAUGCGUAGAGAUCUGGAGGAAUACCGAUGGCGAAGGCAGCCAUCUGGCCUAAUACUGACGCUCAUGCACGAAAGCGUGGGGAGCAAACAGGAUUAGAUACCCCGGUAGUCCCUGUCUCUUAUAC
rnacentral:rRNA from 1 species